ncrna:unclassified sequences Glutamine-II riboswitch (downstream peptide RNA)
AAACGUUCAACUCAUUAAAUGAUGAGCCGCAGUUUGACUCAAGCCAAGGAACGGGGACUUGAG